GCAUCAGUGGUGUAGCGGUAACAUUGGGUCUUCCCAUCGGUGAAUAUGGCCUAGCUUCGGGUUCGACUCCCGGCUGAUGCA